ensembl:lncRNA
UGUGUCAGGGGAGAAGCUCCAGGUGGUAUCUGAUGCUACUGAGCCAGAUGUCUGUGUGUCAGGGAGAAGCUCCAGGUGGUAUCUGAUGCUACUGAGCCAGAUGUCUAUGUGUCAGGGGAGAAGCUCCAGGUGGUAUCUGAUGCUACUGAGCCAGAUGUCUAUGUGUCAGGGGAGAAGCUCCAGGUGGUAUCAGAUGCUACUGAGCCAGAUGUCUAUGUGUCAGGGGAGAAGCUCCAGGUGGUAUCUGAUGCUACUGAGCCAGAUGUCUAUGUGUCAGGGG